rnacentral:rRNA from 1 species
UACGAAGGGGGCUAGCGUUGCUCGGAAUUACUGGGCGUAAAGGGCGCGUAGGCGGGUCGCUAAGUUGGGGGCGAAAGCCCAGGGCUCAACCCUGGAAUUGCCUUCGAUACUGGCGACCUUGAGUAUGAGAGAGGUGUGUGGAACUCCGAGUGUAGAGGUGAAAUUCGUAGAUAUUCGGAAGAACACCAGUGGCGAAGGCGACCCCCUGGCUCAUUACUGACGCUGAGGCGCGAAAGCGUGGGGAGCAAACAGG